GGCAGCGGGGUUGAGCUUGCUUCAUCGCCGGCGACCGGCGCACGGGUGAGUAACGCGUAUCCCCCUUUACAGACCUCAGGGAUAGCCUUUCGAAAGAAAGAUCCCUUCCUGAUGGUAUGAUGAGAUUGCAUGAUAGCAUCAUUAAAGAUUUAUCGGUGUACGAUGGGGAUGCGUUCCAUUAGGUAGUAGGCGGGGUAACGGCCCACCUAGCCUACGAUGGAUAGGGGUUCUGAGAGGAAGGUCCCCCACAUUGGAACUGAGACACGGUCCAAACUCCUACGGGAGGCAGCAGUGAGGAAUAUUGGUCAAUGGACGAGAGUCUGAACCAGCCAAGUAGCGUGAAGGAUGAAGGUCCUACGGAUUGUAAACUUCUUUUAUAAGGGAAUAAAACCUCCCACGUGUGUUUUCUUGUAUGUACCUUAUGAAUAAGCAUCGGCUAACUCCGUGCCAGCAGCCGCGGUAAUACGGAGGAUGCGAGCGUUAUCCGGAUUUAUUGGGUUUAAAGGGAGCGCAGACGGGUCGUUAAGUCAGCUGUGAAAGUGUGGGGCUCAACCUUAAAAUUGCAGUUGAUACUGGCGUCCUUGAGUGCGGCUGAGGUGUGCGGAAUUCGUGGUGUAGCGGUGAAAUGCUUAGAUAUCACGAAGAACUCCGAUUG
rnacentral:rRNA from 1 species